rnacentral:rRNA from 1 species
UAAGAAGUUACUUAAGGGCGAACGGAGGAUGCCUAGGCUUCUAUGGGCGAAGAAGGACGUGGUAAGCUGCGAAAAGCUGCGGUGAUUAGCAAACAUGAGUUGAUCCGCAGAUAUCCUAAUGGGGCAACCCGGCCGGUUGAAGACCGGUCACAUCGAGAGAUGGGCCAACGCAGGGAACUGAAACAUCUAAGUACCUGCAGGAAAAGAAAGAAAUAUCGAUUCUCUGAGUAGUGGCGAGCGAAAGGGGAAUAGCCUAAACCAAUAUUGUUUCGGCAAUAUUGGGGUUGUAGGACCGCGAUAUUGGCAUAUAAAAUGAAGUGGAAUUAACUGGAAAGUUAGAUCGUAGAGGGUGAUAAUCCCGUACAUAUAAGUUUUAUAUAUCAUAGCGGUAUCCUGAGUAGGGCGGGACACGAGGAAUCCUGUCUGAAUCUACGGGGACCAUCCCGUAAGGCUAAAUACCAAUAGAAGACCGAUAGUGAACCAGUACUGUGAAGGAAAGGUGAAAAGUACCCCGAACAGGGGGGUGAAAUAGAACCUGAAACCGUUCGCUUACAAGCGGUCGGAGUCCCUUCGUGGGAUGACGGCGUGCCUUUUGCAUAAUGAGCCUACGAGUUGCAUCUCACUAGCAAGGUUAAGUACUUAAGGUACGGAGCCGAAGCGAAAGCGAGUCUGAAUAGGGCGCUUUAGUUAGUGGGAGCAGACGCGAAACCUUGUGAUCUACCCUUGACCAGGUUGAAGGAGCCGUAACAGGCUGUGGAGGACCGAACCAGUAUUCGUUGAAAAGAAUUUGGAUGAGUUGAGGGUAGGGGUGAAAGGCUAAUCAAACUGGGAGAUAGCUCGUACUCCCCGAAAUGUCUUUUGGGACAGCCUCAUUUUAUAGCUUAUCGGAGGUAGAGCUACUGAUAGGAUGCGAGGGCUUCAUCGCCUAUCAAUUCCUGACAAACUCCGAAUGCCGAUAAGUGUUUAAUGGGAGUGAGUCGCCGGGUGCUAAUGUCCGGUGGCGAGAGGGAAAGAGCCCAGACCAACAGCUAAGGCCCCCAAACGUGUGUUAAGUUGA